GACGAACGCUGGCGGCGUGCUUAACACAUGCAAGUCGAACGGAAAGGCCCUGCUUGCAGGGUACUCGAGUGGCGAACGGGUGAGUAACACGUGGGUGAUCUGCCCUUCACUUCGGGAUAAGCCUGGGAAACGGGGUCUAAUACCGGAUAGGAGCCAGGGUUAGAGUGAGGGUUGGACGGUUUUUUCGGUGUAGGAUGAGCUCGCGGCCUAUCAGCUUGUUGGUGGGGUAAUGGCCUACCAAGGCGGCGACGGGUAGCCGGCCUGAGGGGGUGGACGGCCAUACUGGGACUGAGAUACGGCCCAGACGCCUACGGGUGGCAGCAGUGGGGAAUAUUGCACCAUGGGCGCAAGCCUGAUGCAGCGGCGCCGCGUGGGGGAUGACGGCCUUCGGGUUGUAAACUCCCUUCGCUAGGGACGAAGCUUUUUGUGACGGUACCUAGAGAAGAAGCACCGGCUAACUACGUG
rnacentral:rRNA from 1 species